GUCAUGGGGUCCUGUGUUUGACAAAACGUAUUAACAUAUUCAAAGUAAAAGUAAUCUAGAUCUAGAGUCAGCCACCCUUGGGAUUUUGAAUUGCUUGGGAAUUUUAUACCUACUGAAACCUGCCUGCCUUGACUUGUUUUUUCCUUCCCAUGCUAAAUUCCUACAUUCUCUAUCUUUCAUCUCACCCAUUUAGGCAGAACUAAAAUUGUGUAAGCUCCAUUUCAAGGCCCUGAGGUCCAGACCCCUGGCUGUUCUUGACCUGCAGCAGCCCUUAACCCUUACCUUCUGCAUCUCCAGCCUGAGCUUCCACCCAGCUGCUCUUGACCAGCUUUGUUCAUCUGCUCUUCAUGCCUUCAGUAUUAAAGUUGCCUGAAGGCUUGCAGCCAGUAGCUCUUCUUUCUUGGACCCUGCUCUGAUGUUCCCAGCUGUUGCUAUUAGGAAUCAAACAGUAGAAGGGAAGAAACCGAUAUAACAAGCGAGGACUCCUG
rnacentral:lncRNA from 1 species